rnacentral:rRNA from 1 species
AAAGGGUCCGCAGGCGGCCAGAUAAGUCAGUGGUGAAAUUCCGUGGCUCAACCACGGAACUGCCAUUGAUACUGUUUGGCUUGAAUCAGUUCGAGGAUGCCGGAAUGUGUGGUGUAGCGGUGAAAUGCAUAGAUAUCACACAGAACACCAAUUGCGAAGGCAGGUGUCCAGAACUGUAUUGACGCUGAUGGACGAAAGCGUGGGUAGCGAACAGGAUUAGAUACCCUGGUAGUCCACGCCGUAAACGAUGGUCACUAGCUGUCCGGACUUAGGUCUGGGUGGCCAAGCGAAAGUGAUAAGUGACCCACCUGGGGAGUACGGUCGCAAGAAUGAAACUCAAAGGAAUUGACGGGGGCCCGCACAAGCGGUGGAGCAUGUGGUUUAAUUCGAUGAUACGCGAGGAACCUUACCAGGGCUUAAAUGUAGUCUGACAGCUUUAGAGAUAGAGUUUUCUUCGGACAGAUUACAAGGUGCUGCAUGGUU